AUACGGAGGAUCCGAGCGUUAUCCGGAUUUAUUGGGUUUAAAGGGUGCGCAGGCGGGAGAUUAAGUCGGCGGUGAAAUUUUGCAGCUCAACUGUAAAAGUGCCUUCGAAACUGGUUUCCUUGAGUGUAGAUGAAGUAGGCGGGGUUUGUGGUGUAGCGGGGAAAUGCAUAGAUAUCACGAGGAACUCCGAUUGCGCAGGCAGCUUACUAAACUACUACUGACGCUCAGGCACGAAGGCGUGGGGAUCAAACAGGAUUAGAUACCCUGGUAGACCACGCAGUAAACGAUGAUUACUAGCUGUUUGCGAUACAAUGUAAGCGGCUGAGCGAAAGCGUUAAGUAAUCCACCUGGGGAGUACGUUCGCAAGAAUGAAACUCAAAGGAAUUGACGGGG
rnacentral:rRNA from 1 species